AUGGGCCCCGGCGAUCGCCGUGGGUACCGAGCACCAGGGCAGGUGCAGCAGCGGCGGAGGCGGCCCGCUGGGGUGCCCCGCCUGGAACGGCGGCAGCGGUGGUCCGCCCAUUGCAGGCGCGCCCUGGGACGGCCAUGGCAGCGCGGGGUGGCCGUAGGCGGCGGAGGUGCGGGCGGCCCGGCCAGGUACAGAUGGAUGCCCUGGACGGCCAUCACGAGAUCCCGCAAGAUACUGGUGACUUCUUCCGGCGUGAAAACUGCGGUUGUCGGCGCAGUGGAGGUGACCGGGGCCGGCGGCGUGGGGGAACCGGCGGUGGUGACGGUGAUCGGGGCCGGCGGUGGUGGGGAACCGGCGGUGGUCAGUGGUGCGGUGGUGAUGAUUGGCAGCGGCGGCGUUGGCGUUGACGAAGACAUGAUCGAGUCCGAGUCUCUGGAUACCAAAUUGUUAUGGCGCUGCUAG
rnacentral:rRNA from 1 species